rnacentral:rRNA from 1 species
GAUGAACGCUGGCGGCGUGCCUAAUACAUGCAAGUCGAGCGAACAGACGAGGAGCUUGCUCCUCUGAUGUUAGCGGCGGACGGGUGAGUAACACGUGGAUAACCUACCUAUAAGACUGGGAUAACUUCUGGAAACCGGAGCUAAUACCGGAUAACAUGUUGAACCGCAUGGUUCACCAGUGAAAGACGGUCUUGCUGUCACUUAUAGAUGGAUCCGCGCCGCAUUAGCUAGUUGGUAAGGUAACGGCUUACCAAGGCAACGAUGCGUAGCCGACCUGAGAGGGUGAUCGGCCACACUGGAACUGAGACACGGUCCAGACUGCGACGGGAGGCAGCAGUAGGGAAUCUUCCGCAAUGGGAGAAAGCCUGACGGAGCAACGCCGCGUGAGUGAAGAAGGUAUUCGGAUCGUAAAACUCUGUUAUUAGGGAAGAACAAGUGUGUAAGUAACUAUGCACGUCUUGACGGUACCUAAUCAGAAAGCCACGGCUAACUACGUG